AUUGAACGCUGGCGGCAGGCCUAACACAUGCAAGUCGAGCGGAUUUUGGAGGGCUUGCUCUCCAAAGUUAGCGGCGGACGGGUGAGGAAUACGCAGGAAUCUACCUAGUAGUGGGGGAUAACGUAGGGAAACUUACGCUAAUACCGCAUACGACCUACGGGUGAAAGCAGGGGACCUUCGGGCCUUGCGCUAUUAGAUGAGCCUGCGUCGGAUUAGCUAGUUGGUGGGGUAAAGGCCUACCAAGGCGACGAUCCGUAGCUGGUCGUUAGAGGAGUGAUCAGCCACACUGGGACGUGAGACACGGCCC
rnacentral:rRNA from 1 species